GACGAACGCUGGCGGCGUGCCUAACACAUGCAAGUCGAACGGAAAGGCCCUGCUUUUGUGGGGUGCUCGAGUGGCGAACGGGUGAGUAACACGUGAGUAACCUGCCCUUGACUUUGGGAUAACUUCAGGAAACUGGGGCUCAUACCGGAUAGGAGCUCCUGCUUCAUGGUGGGGGUUGGAAAGUUUCGGCGGUUGGGGAUGGACUCGCGGCUUAUCAGCUUGUUGGUGGGGUAGUGGCUUACCAAGGCUUUGACGGGUAGCCGGCCUGAGAGGGUGACCGGCCAAAUUGGGACUGAGAUACGGCCCAGACUCCUACGGGAGGCAGCAGUGGGGAAGAUUGCACAAUGGGAGGAAGCCUGAUGCAGCAACGCCGCGUGCGGGAUGACGGCCUUCGGGUUGUAAACCGAUUUCGCCUGUGACGAAGCGUGAGUGACGGUAAUGGGUAAAGAAGCACCGGCUAACUACGUG
rnacentral:rRNA from 1 species